AAAAUGAUGUACCAUUCCAGUUCCCACAACUUGGAGUCCCGAUUGUAAUCAGCAUUGCUCCAAAUUUUACACCAGAAUAGGCCUAGUAUGCGCUCAAAGAUGGGUGGAAAAACGCAAGGAGACUGUGACCUUUGACCUCUUCGGCGUGUCGUGGCUGACCUUCGACUGGCUCGUGGGGUGGUGGUUUAACAACCGCGAUAGGCAGGACAUCCUGGAAUUCCGCCAGUUCAAUAAUAUUUGCGACAUGGAAUAUGAGAACUGUAGGAAUUCUACGCACAACCCAAGCUGGUUCCCCACACACUUCAGUCAUUGCGACGGUAGCUUCCAUGAACCCUCGUUUAUCAAAGCGAACAUAAUUAAAGCAAAGAAACUAUUGGAUAACAAAGUAAACGAUAGCACACAAAUAUGGGAUUGAUAUCGUGUGAAAUCUC